AGCUUUGUGCAGUGGCAGUAUCGUAGCCAAUGAGGUUUAUCCAAGGCGUGAUUAUUGCUAAUUGAAAAUGGGUUGGGUUCC
rnacentral:snRNA from 1 species